AUUGAACGCUGGCGGCAUGCUUUACACAUGCAAGUCGAACGGUAACAGGCCGCAAGGUGCUGACGAGUGGCGAACGGGUGAGUAAUGCAUCGGAACGUGCCCAGUCGUGGGGGAUAACACAGCGAAAGCUGCGCUAAUACCGCAUACGAGCUAUGGAUGAAAGCGGGGGACCGUAAGGCCUCGCGCGAUUGGAGCGGCCGAUGUCAGAUUAGGUAGUUGGUGGGGUAAAGGCUCACCAAGCCAACGAUCUGUAGCUGGUCUGAGAGGCCGACCAGCCACACGGGGACUGAGACACGGCCCAGACUCCUACGGGAGGCAGCAGUGGGGAAUUUUGGACAAUGGGCGCAAGCCUGAUCCAGCAAUGCCGCGUGCAGGAAGAAGGCCUUCGGGUUGUAAACUGCUUUUGUACGGAACGAAACGGUCCUGGUUAAUACCUGGGGCUAAUGACGGUACCGUAAGAAUAAGCACCGGCUAACUACGUGCCAGCCGCCGCGGUAACAC
rnacentral:rRNA from 1 species